AGCUCCAAUAGCGUAUAUUAAAGUUGUUGCCGUUAAAAAGCCCGUAGUCGAACUUCGGUCCCUGCUGGACGGUCCGCCUUCUUGGUGUGUACUUUCUCAGUGGGGACUUACCUCCUGGUGAGCUGCGAUGCCCUUUAUUGGGUGUCGUAGGGAACCAGGAAUUUUACUUUGAAAAAAUUAGAGUGUUCAAAGCAGGCCUACGCCCGAAUACAUUAGCAUGGAAUAAUAAAAUAGGACGCGCGUUCCCAUUUUGUUGGUUUCUGAGAUCGCCGUAAUGAUUAAUAGGGAUAGUUGGGGGCAUUUGUAUUCCGUCGUCAGAGGUGAAAUUCUUAGAUUGCCGGAAGACAAACUACUGCGAAAGCAUUUGCCAAGGAUGUUUUCA
rnacentral:rRNA from 1 species